rnacentral:misc_RNA from 1 species
AGGCCGCGAUGAACACCCUGCUCGCCCCCUUCCUGCGCCGUUUUGCCACAGUCUUCUUUGAUGAUAUUUUGGUCUACAGCGACUCAUUAUCAUCUCAUCUCCACCACCUCGAGCUUGUCUUUCAGGCAUUGUUGCAACAACAAUUCUUCCUUAAGCGCACCAAAUGCUUGAUUGCCCAGCGCCAAUUGGAGUACCUCGGGCACCUCGUCUCCGCUAAGGGAGUCGAACCUGAACCAUCCAAGCUCCAGGCUAUCGUGAACUGGCCAUCUCCAACAUCGGCUAAGGACCUCCGGGCCUUUCUCGGUCUCA